rnacentral:rRNA from 1 species
GGCCAGCAGCCGCGGUAAGACGAAGGAUGCAAGCGUUAUCCGGAUUCAUUGGGUUUAAAGGGAGCGUAGGUGGUCUUAUAAGUCAGUGGUGAAAUCUCGCAGCUUAACUGCGAAACUGCCAUUGAUACUGUAGGACUUGAGUAUAGUUGCUGUGGGCGGAAUAUGACAUGUAGUGGUGAAAUACUUAGAGAUGUCAUAGAACACCGAUUGCGAAGGCAGCUCACAAAACUAUAACUGACACUGAGGCUCGAAAGUGCGGGGAUCAAACAGGAUUAGAUACCCUGGUAGUCCGCACUGUAAACGAUGAUUACUCGCUGCUAGAGGGCAACCUUUAGUGGCUUAGCGAAAGCGAUAAGUAAUCCACCUGGGGAGUACGCCGGCAACGGUGAAACUCAAAGGAAUUGACGGGGGCCCGCACAAGC